GAAACCAACCGGGAUUGCCUUAGUAACGGCGAGUGAAGCGGCAAAAGCUCAAAUUUGAAAUCUAGUACCUUCGGUGCUCGAGUUGUAAUUUGUAGAGGGAUACUUUGGGACCGUUCCUUGUCUAUGUUCCUUGGAACAGGACGUCAUAGAGGGUGAGAAUCCCGUGUGGCGAGGAGUGCGGUUCUAUGUAAAGUGCCUUCGAAGAGUCGAGUUGUUUGGGAAUGCAGCUCUAAGUGGGUGGUAAAUUCCAUCUAAAGCUAAAUAUUGGCGAGAGACCGAUAGCGAACAAGUACAGUGAUGGAAAGAUGAAAAGAACUUUGAAAAGAGAGUGAAAAAGUACGUGAAAUUGUUGAAAGGGAAGGGCAUUUGAUCAGACAUGGUGUUUUGCGCCCUCUGCUCCUUGUGGGUGGGGGAAUCUCGCAGCUCACUGGGCCAACAUCAGUUUUGGUGGUCGGAUAAAUCCGUAGGAAUGUGGCUUACCUCGGUAAGUGUUAUAGCCUGCGGGAAUACGGCCAGCCGGGACUGAGGACUGCGACUUUU
rnacentral:rRNA from 1 species